rnacentral:rRNA from 1 species
GUAGGUGGCAAGCGUUGUCCGGAAUUAUUGGGCGUAAAGCGCGCGCAGGUGGUUCUUUAAGUCUGAUGUGAAAGCCCCCGGCUCAACCGGGGAGGGUCAUUGGAAACUGGGGAACGUUGAGUGCAGGAGAGGAAAGUGGAAUUCCACGUGUAGCGGUGAAAUGCGUAGAUAUGUGGAGGAACACCAGUGGCGAAGGCGACUUUCUGGCCUGUAACUGACACUGAGGCGCGAAAGCGUGGGGAGCAAACAGGGAUUAGAUACCCUGGUAGUCCACGCCGUAAACGAUGAGUGCUAAGUGUUGGGGGGGUUUCCCGCCCCUCAGUGCUGCAGCUAACGCAUUAAGCACUCCGCCUGGGGAGUACGGUCGCAAGACUG